AUUGCUUCUUGGCCUUUUGGCUAAGAUCAAGUUUAGUAUCUGUUCUUGUCAGUUUAAUAUCUGAUACAUCCCCUAUGUGGGGACAAUAUAUUUACUGGAUUUUUGAGAACGGGGGCCGAUUUUUAAAGCUUGCUUCCGUCGCCCCAUGCAUUGUGACCCCAUAUGGCAGUAUCUUCGGGUACAGUGCACCAAAA